UAUGACUCCCAAGGCAAAAUAAGCCUACACUACCAAAGCCCACAGGUAUCGCAACAGUAGCAAGUGGGUAGGGAUGAAGUUCCUGGUGUGCGUUCAAUAGGAUUAGGUGAGGCUGUAGGUUUUUGGGAGGGAGUCAGUUUAUACAUCUUCUGUUCGAAUUGUGGGUUAAACCCGGGUCUUCACCCGGUCCGGUCCGGCUCUUCGGACCCUUCCCAUGAAGAAACCAAACAAACUUACUGAUAUUUAGAGAUGAAAAGUCUUGAAAGUUGAAACAAAGGAGACGCCAAAACCCUGGUACUUGCUACUUGUUUCCUUCAAUUUCUGCAUUUUAUCGAAACGUAGGCACAAUGAGUAUCAUAAGUGGGUGUGCGAGCAUUAAAGCUUCAUAGCAACGAGGAUUCCAAGAAGUUUAUGCCUGAAUUGAAGAUUCCUGAAUUGGAGAUUCCUGAAUGGGGAACCUGCUCUUCCAACCGAAACGUGUCAAUGGAUUUGUAAAUCCGUUGAGGAUGUUUGUUAAUUUGAUAUUGACUACUAUGGUAUUGAAUUUCUGGAGUUUCAAUGUUUCAAUAAUGUUAUUUUCCUUUUAUUGA